GUGGGGAAUAUUGGACAAUGGGCGCAAGCCUGAUCCAGCCAUACCGCGUGGGUGAAGAAGGCCUUCGGGUUGUAAAGCCCUUUUGUUGGGAAAGAAAUCCUAUCGAUUAAUACUCGGUGGGGAUGACGGUACCCAAAGAAUAAGCACCGGCUAACUUCGUGCCAGCAGCCGCGGUAAUACGAAGGGUGCAAGCGUUACUCGGAAUUACUGGGCGUAAAGCGUGCGUAGGUGGUUGUUUAAGUCUGCUGUGAAAGCCCUGGGCUCAACCUGGGAAUUGCAGUGGAUACUGGGCAACUAGAGUGUGGUAGAGGGAUGCGGAAUUUCUGGUGUAGCAGUGAAAUGCGUAGAGAUCAGAAGGAACAUCCGUGGCGAAGGCGGCAUCCUGGGCCAACACUGACACUGAGGCACGAAAGCGUGGGGAGCAAACAGGAUUAGAUACCCUAGUAGUCC
rnacentral:rRNA from 1 species